UGGGGCGUAGCCAAGCUGGCAAGGCACAGGAUUUUGGUUCCUGCAUUCGGAGGUUCGAAUCCUCCCGCCCCAGCAA
rnacentral:tRNA from 1 species